rnacentral:rRNA from 1 species
UACGUAGGUGACCAGCGUUGUCCGGAUUUACUGGGCGUAAAGAGCGCGCAGGCGGUCGUUCAAGUCGAGUGUGAAAGCCCCCGGCUCAACUGGGGAGGGUCAUUCGAUACUGAUCGACUUGAAGGCAGGAGAGGGAAGUGGAAUUCCCGGUGUAGUGGUGAAAUGCGCAGAUAUCAGGAGGAACACCGGUGGCGAAGGCGGGUCUCUGGGCCGAUACUGACGCUGAGGAGCGAAAGCGUGGGGAGCGAACAGG